UUUUAUUGCCAUAAAAUAAUAACUCAAUUAAAUUAUUAAAAAGAAAAUUAAAUACAACAAAUCUUCAUCUCAAUGUCGUCGACUCAAGCUGUCAAGCAAUAGAUCUUUGAGCUGCACGAGUCAAGUCUUCACUUGAAGGAACGCAAGUUGCUAGUGUCACUGCUAUGGCAUUCCUCGAGCGCUGACGUUUGUCGAUCGAUAGUGUGAAUCUCGUUGACGAUCGUCAAUCGUUGUGGUUGAUGUAAUGUUGGUCAGGAGCACCAUUAUUAAUCUUCAUGGGAGGAAUCGCCAUUAAAUCUAGGUGGCAGAGCACUUUUGCAUGUGAAAACAAGAAGAAGAAGAAAAAGAAAGAGGAAGAAAGAGAAUAAGGUGCGGGAAAAGAGAUAGGAUUGAGAGGGAGGGAGGCGGCUGCAAGUGACGUAGGAAAUAGAUAAAUUAGGUUUUAAUAUCUUACUAUAUAUAGGACGGUUAAAUUCAGUUUUCUUUGUAAUUUUCAUUUAAUUAACUGAAAAUUGAAAUAUUUUAAAAUUAUUAAUUAAAUCAAAUUGAAUGUAUUAAAUAAUCGAAUUAAAUAAAUAUUUCUGUUUGAUUUAAUUUUUUGGUUAAAAUCGAAAACUGGCCGGCCCUAAUUGCAGCUGCUCUCAUAUGGUUUGAUAUGGUCCCACAGAUGGCAUUUCAUUUUGGUCUUUUAUUUUCUAUUCAUCAUGCUAAUUUUUUUCCUCCAUUUAAAAAAAAAACUUAGAUCAGUUUAAAUUUAUGGAGACAAUUUUUAAGUGAAAAUUUUAGUGUGAAUUUUAAUUUUAGAAUUUAUACAUUCAGAACAAUUAUUAUUGUUAGAUUAUUUACUAUCAAUAUCAAUAAUAAAUUUAGGCAGCAAUUUGAGAUUUAUAAAUAAAUAUUACUGCACUUAAUAUUCGUACUCCCUUAUAUCAAUCAUGAUUCGUACAAUGAUUUUGUAUAGUAAAAUUUUCUUCUAAGACUUCCCUUAUCCCUUUUUCUCUGACUUUUGUUUCGAAGCCAUUCACACCAAGAUAACAAAAACAAGCACAAGGACACAUCUAAGUAGUAGCAUGGAGAAGAAGGAAGAGGAUUUCAGCAUAGAAGAGUCUGCCGCUCCUGUUCUGUGGCCUUAACGGGGACGAAGAAGAUCUCCACCACCAUAAGAACCCCUUGAGCGUCUUUGCAAACUCUCUAUAUCAGCUUUCUCACAAGCAUCUAUUUGCAUAGCAAAGUAAUUAAUUAAUGAUAAUUGUUGAAAUAUACGCACAAAAUGAGGUAUACAUACUCCUCAAUUGCAAUAGUAGAGAAAAAGAAAAAAAUAAAUAUAAAAAAUUUAACGUGAAUCGAGCUUAUAUGUGAGAAAGUUAAAAAGAUAAAGUCUCAAUAUGAUUAAAAAAACUAUAUAAUCCCUCAAAACUCUCGAUAUCUGAUUUCAAUAUAUUUUCUAAAAUUCCAUAUAAUAUAAUAGGAGAAAUAUAAUUAUUUAUUUAUCAAUCUUCACCCUCUACUCAUUUUUAUUUUUAUUUUUUCUCCCAUUUGAAUCGUAACUAUUGCAUAAAAAAAUAUAUCUAAAAUUCAAACAAUGUAAUUAAUAAUACAAAAAGAAUGAGAUAACAAGUAAGAAAUUAAUUAGGUUAACUAUGACACUUACCCUUCAAGUGAUUUCCCCUUGUUAAUUGCUUGUCUUGCGGAGGAAAAGAACCUUCAAAAGCAUUGCAUGGAAGAGAUAUAGAGAAAAUAAUUAUGAAGAGAAGUCCUAUCAAUAUCACUCUCUUCAUGGUAGUGAUAUUGCUUUUCAAUAUCUCUCUUUUAGGGUUUAUUUCUUCAAAAUCCAAAGAGAUAGCUGCCUGUGAGUAGCUUUAUAGAUUGAUAUGAGAGUUCUGCAAAUUGUGAUGAUGAAUGAGCAUUAGUUCCUUUGUAAGCUUUUCU
rnacentral:lncRNA from 1 species